rnacentral:tRNA from 1 species
UCCGAAAUAGCUCAGUUGGUAGAGCAUCCGGCUGUUAACCGGCAGGUCGCAGGUUCGAGUCCUGCUUUCGGAGCCA